rnacentral:lncRNA from 1 species
CCUUAGCUAGGAGCUAGCAAUGCUACGUGGAAUUGCAUGUCGGUAUCUUCUGAGAGGUUGUUCUCUCUCCACUUCUCAUUCAAGUCUGAAGAUGCUUACAGUCACCUGCAGUACUUCUAAAUCAGAGUUUUGAGAUGGAAGAGGUCACAGCUCCAAUGAUCUCAGCCGAAGAAGAUGAGGAAGAAGACCAGCACAAGUGCUCUCCAAGGAAUGUCUUCCUGCCCGGUGUCCUGGACAACUGCCUGUCUUUAGAAUUAACAAAUGCUCUGACUUGCAGAGUCUCUCUCAAAUCAGCUUUUGCUGGUAUCAGGAUUUCUCUGGAGGACUCAACAAAGUCCUCUCCAUGCCUGAGAUUCCUACAAUGAUUGAAAUUCCAUUGUUUCUUCCCCGUGGAAUAACCAUAAGCUUCCUGAGGGAGUGCACCUCAGAGAGGCCUCGCCUGGGACUUGAAACAUCCAGCCCACUGUACGCUGUGGCAUUUGGACAGGUUCUUGCCUCGAGUUCCUGCUCUGCCUUCAUUUCACUAUACCUAGAAGCUGAAAUAAACUAUUUCCUCCA